UACGGGGGGCAAGCGUUGUUCGGAAUUACUGGGCGUAAAGGGCUCGUAGGCGGCCAACUAAGUCAGACGUGAAAUCCCUCGGCUUAACCGGGGAACUGCGUCUGAUACUGGAUGGCUUGAGUUUGGGAGAGGGAUGCGGAAUUCCAGGUGUAGCGGUGAAAUGCGUAGAUAUCUGGAGGAACACCGGUGGCGAAGGCGGCAUCCUGGACCAACACUGACGCUGAGGAGCGAAAGCCAGGGGAGCAAACGGG
rnacentral:rRNA from 1 species